GGAUCCCUUCCGGAGCAACGUCCCGUCCCGGGCAACCGCACGGCAGCGAGCCGCCGGGACUCGCCAGAACCACGGGAUCUGCACGUGUAACACCCACCGCUCGCACACCGAGAGCCGGCUCUGCGCCAGGCUCCUCCGAGCCGCGGGCUGGGAACGAGCGUCUCGCCCGACCACCCUGCCAGAUGCACCAACCAUCAACGCCCUGAGCUGCCGCCCUCUGUAAGCUUAUUUCUUCAAGCAGCAAAAACGCACGUUCAAAUAGUUCAACCGUCACGUUUCCCCCAAACCCGACAGAGCGCAGGCGCGCGCCGCUCGAGCCACGGCACGGCGGCUUCGCUGCUGCCUUUUCCGUUGAGAACGGCCCUUGUUUUUUUCCUGGGGAAAAAAAGGUUUUUCUCACUGCACCAGGGUAACGACUCACGAUCGGCAGAAAGGAGCUCGGUGCCUGCAGGCCCCGCUCCGCGCAGGUGAAAGCUGCGAUGCCACGAGUCAGCGCACCAACUGUUUAUUUUCCUUUUACACCUACUUUAAAUAGAAGCUUUUGUUCUACUGAAACUAUUAAUCUGAGUCUUACCAUGAGGCUUUUUUUUUUUUUUUUUUUUUAUAUAUUUUAAACACUCUGAAGAAGCGAAAAAGAAAAAAAUUGCCACGAUGCUUUAAAGUCCAACUUUAAAGGGGGAAGCAAGGCGCAGCAGAAAGCGAACCCCAACCCAAACCAAAGAGUCCGGCUGGGGCGCAGGAACGGGAGCGACCGCGAUCCAGCCUUCGCCGAGGCUGGAAACACGCAGGAAGAAGAAAUUUGACAUCAUCAGCGAUCUGAUGUGGAGGAUUCCAGCCGUCAGGUUUGGCUUUUCCGGCUACGCGACUUAAGCCGACGAUAACAUCUUUAUUAGCCUCGCAAUUCAAAGCCGAAAAUCAUCCCCCCCCCCCCCCCCGCCCCCAGUCCCAGGCAAACCCCGUCGCGGGACUCACCCCCGCGCGCGCGGCGCCGCCGCCGUGAGCCCAUUUCACAGCUGGGUAAGCGGAGGCACGGCGGCAGGGCCGGGCCACGCUCUCCCCCCGGUGUAAUCCUGGGAGGAUCCGUCCCGUUACCGCGCUCUUUGCGUAAGCGACUCCCACGACACGGCGUCGGUGCAAAGACAUUUCCCUUAAGCAUGGGAUUGUCGGAGAUGCUCGAGCCGGUGAGUCACCGCCAGCCUCCUCGCCCACAAGGGAAGCAUACGGAGUCCACGGGAACCUGUAAUUAGCCGGACGAGAAACUCCCUUUCCUCCCGAGAUUAAGACGGGCAAACUCUUAGACUUGUUUUUUAAGCUCGCGUACGGCCAAGCACAGCCCCAGCCCCAGCGGUCAGGCACAGAUCUGCGUGCUAACACCCCUUCAAACAGCCACACACGACAAAUAAAUAAUAAAUAAAUAAAUAAGAAAGCAGCUUUUUUUUUUUUUUUUUUUUUUCACCCCCCCCCCGAAAGGCAAAAACCCUCAGCACGAGGACGAAGGCCGGCAGCGAAGCUCGCCCCGGUUCGAACGCAACACACGGGAUCGCAAAGCCACACGGAUUUCCAGGUCGCAAUCCUCUUUGGUACGCAGCGGAGGAGAAGUAACCAGAUUAUAAUUAUUUGGCCCCAAA